rnacentral:rRNA from 1 species
AGGAUCAUUGCACACACAAGUUGCAGCCAACACGCGGCGAACGAACACAUUGUCCCCCCUUCGGCGGGUCGUGGCGCCUCGCGGCGUCGCGGCGCGCCGUCACCCCUCGUCACCAGCGCGAGCUUCGUGGCGUCGGGUUUCCACACGAUGCAUCACCCGAAUGACUGAGUCCCGAAUACUUGGAUGGAGGAGUGGGCGCGUCGCGUCUCCUGGAGCGAGCGGGCUUUGGCUUGCGAACUCGAGGUGCGCGCGGCGCGCCGGUUACCUUACGACGAGUUGAAACAUAACUAAAAACAACUCUCAGCAACGGAUAUCUUGGCUCUUGCAACGAUGAAGAACGCAGCGAAAUGCGAUACGUAGUGUGAAUUGCAGAAUUCCGCGAAUCAUCGAGUCUUUGAACGCAAGUUGCGCCCGAGGCUUGUCCGAGGGCAUUUCCGCUAGAGCGUCACCGCGCCCCCCACCGAUCCGCUCCCGCCGCGAGGCGCCAGUCGGGUCGAGUGCAAGUGGCCGUCCCGGCGAAGUGGCCUUCUUUCACGAGGAGGCCGUCCUUGGAAGGGUCGGCUGAAAUGGAUGGAAUCGGGCCGCCGUGGUGACACAGUCCGCGAUCGGGUGAUUUUGUCGCGAGCCUCCCCCGGGAGGCUCUUGGUGAAUUUUUCUAAGUGCUUGGCUGCGUCCCCCAGUUGGCUCGGGUUACCUCAUGCAGGUCGAGCGCGCCCCCGCGGCGCGCGUCACGCAUCAGACCUCUAAUC